rnacentral:rRNA from 1 species
GAGUUUGAUCCUGGCUCAGGAUGAACGCUGGCGGCGUGCCUUACACAUGCAAGUCGAGUGAAGCCCUAAGUAUUAGUGUCGGCGUUUGAGCUCCCGGGAGUGCUAGGUUCUGUGUGGGGACACCGUUGAAAACGACCGUAAUCCCCAAUAAACCCACGGUGAAACGGUUAUCCUCUAUAAGAGGAGCUCGCGUCCGAUUAUUUAAUUGGUGGGGUAAUAGCCUAAGAUGGGCUCCAUCUCUAGCUGGCCUUACCCUAUGAACUGCCCCUUGGGGACUGAGACUCGGCCCAGACUUCAAGGGGAGGCUGCAUUGGGGAAUUUUCCACCUUGGUCCAAAUUCUGACCGACCAUCCCCUUAUGUGGUAAUAACGCUCUUGGGCGGUCGCCCCUUUUUCUGAAGAAAAACUCCUGACUCUACGUGAGGAAUCAGCCUAGGCUAACUCCUUGCCUGCAUCCUCGAUGAAAAGGAGGAAGGCUUCGUUCUCCGGACUUCGUGCAUGUAAAGCCCCCGCAAGGGACGCAUCAUGUCUGCUGUCAAAGGUCGGAGCUUAACUGCUGUUGGGCAGGGGAAACAGGUCCGCUGUAAGGUAACGGGGCUAGAGGGAAUUCCCAGUGUUGCGCUUAAAUACGUUGAUACUGAAAAAAACAUCUAUGGCGAAAACGCUCUACUGGAUGUCAUCAGAUCCUACGGGAAGAAA